GUCUACGGCCAUGCUUCCCUGAACAAGCCUGAUCCCGUGAUCUUGGAAGCUAAGCAGGGUCGGGCCUGGUUAGCUUCCAGGAUGGAAGACCACCUAGGAAGACCAGGUGCUAUAAGUG
rnacentral:rRNA from 1 species